CAGGGAAAGAACUAUAGCCACGGAAGCCAGGACUGGGGACAGGGCUGGAGCUGGAACCAGUUAAAGGGUCAGAGCUGAAGCCAGGAACAGGAGCAGCGCUAGAGCUAAGCCAGAGCUGUGGCUCUCACCGCGACGGCGAUCCCUCUGUAGAUUCGUUGGGCUCCAUCUUCAGGCUUCAGCUACACGGUUGCCAUAGAGACAGCAAAAAAUUCCAAGAGACUGCGCAGAACUAAAGCUGGGCGGAAGUGGAGGGAAGAGGUGGAGGCAAGUCCUCUGAGGGGCGGAAGUCUUAAGCUGGGUGCGCUCUCCGUUUUCUGGUUCCGACUCCAUGCUGCCUCAGACGCGGUUUUAAGGUUCCAUUAGCCUGAGACCUCGA